GAUUGAACGCUGGCGGUAUGCUUAACACAUGCAAGUCGAACGGAAACGAUACUAGCUUGCUAGUAGGCGUCGAGUGGCGGACGGGUGAGUAACGCGUAGGAAUCUGCCUGAUAGUGGGGGAUAGCCCGAAGAAAUUCGGAUUAAUACCGCAUAAUCUAUUCGUAGUAAAGUGGGGGACUUUCGAGCCUCACGCUAUCAGAUGAGCCUGCGUAAGAUUAGCUUGUUGGUAGGGUAAAAGCCUACCAAGGCGACGAUCUUUAGCUGGUCUGAGAGGAUGAUCAGCCACAUCGGGACUGAGACACGGCCCGAACUCCUACGGGAGGCAGCAGUGGGGAAUAUUGGACAAUGGGGGCAACCCUGAUCCAGCAAUACCGCGUGUGUGAAGAAGGCCUGAGGGUUGUAAAGCACUUUCAAUUGUGAAGAAAAGUUAGCGGUUAAUAACCGUUAGCCUUGACGUUAACUUUAGAAGAAGCACCGGCUAACUCCGUGCCAGCAGCCGCGGUAAUACGGAGGGUGCAAGCGUUAAUCGGAAUUACUGGGCGUAAAGCGUGCGUAGGCGGUUUAUUAAGUCAGAUGUGAAAGCCCCGGGCUUAACCUGGGAACUGCAUUUGAAACUGGUCAACUAGAGUAUGGUAGAGGAAAGUGGAAUUUCUGGUGUAGCGGUGAAAUGCGUAGAUAUCAGAAGGAACAUCAAUGGCGAAGGGCAGCUUUCUGGACCAAUACUGACGCUGAGGUACGAAAGCGUGGGUAGCAAACAGGAUUAGAUACCCUGGUAGUCCACGCCGUAAACGAUGAUAACUAGCCGUUGGGGGGAUUUACCCUUUAGUGGCGAAGCUAACGCGUUAAGUUAUCCGCCUGGGGAGUACGGCCGCAAGGUUAAAACUCAAAGGAAUUGACGGGGACCCGCACAAGCGGUGGAGCAUGUGGUUUAAUUCGAUGCAACGCGAAGAACCUUACCUGGUCUUGACAUCCUGCGAACUUUCUAGAAAUAGAUUGGUGCCUUCGGGAACGCAGUGACAGGUGCUGCAUGGCUGUCGUCAGCUCGUGUCGUGAGAUGUUGGGUUAAGUCCCGUAACGAGCGCAACCCCUAUCCUUAUUUGCCAGCACAUCAUGGUGGGAACUAUAAGGAGACUGCCGGUGAUAAACCGGAGGAAGGCGGGGACGACGUCAAGUCAUCAUGGCCCUUACGACCAGGGCUACACACGUGCUACAAUGGGAAGGACAAAGAGCCGCGAAGCCACGAGGUGUAGCUAAUCUCAUAAACCUUUUCGUAGUCCGGAUUGGAGUCUGCAACUCGACUCCAUGAAGUCGGAAUCGCUAGUAAUCGUAGAUCAGAAUGCUACGGUGAAUACGUUCCCGGGUCUUGUACACACCGC
rnacentral:rRNA from 1 species